CCCCUACGGGAGGCAGCAGUGGGGAAUAUUGCACAAUGGGGGAAACCCUGAUGCAGCGACGCCGCGUGAGUGAAGAAGUAUUUCGGUAUGUAAAGCUCUAUCAGCAGGGAAGAAAAUGACGGUACCUGACUAAGAAGCCCCGGCUAACUACGUGCCAGCAGCCGCGGUAAUACGUAGGGGGCAAGCGUUAUCCGGAUUUACUGGGUGUAAAGGGUGCGUAGACGGGACAGCAAGUUAGUUGUGAAAGCCCUCGGCUUAACUGAGGAACUGCAACUAAAACUAUUGUUCUUGAGUGCAGGAGAGGA
rnacentral:rRNA from 1 species